UCACCUGGAUAUCUUGUUAAGCUGCCAACUGACUCUAAAUCUGAGAUUCUGCAGUUCUAACAAGCUCUCAGGUGACGCCAA
rnacentral:pre_miRNA from 1 species